GANUGAUUAGCUCAGCUGGGAGAGCAUCUGCCUUACAAGCAGAGGGUCGGCGGUUCGAUCCCGUCAUCACCCACCA
rnacentral:tRNA from 1 species